CGGUCUACAUUAGAUACCCCCGUAGUCCCAGCCGUAAACUAUGCGCGUUAGGUGUGUCGGUAACCACGUGUUACUGAUGCGCCGAAGAGAAAUCGUGAAACGCACCACCUGGGAAGUACGGUCGCAAGGCUGAAACUUAAAGGAAUUGGCGGGGAGCACCACAACAGGUGGAGCCUGCGGUUUAAUUGGAUUCAACGCCGGACAUCUCACCGGAUAAGACAGCUGAAUGAUUGUCAAUCUGAAGGUUUUACAUGACUAGCUG
rnacentral:rRNA from 1 species